rnacentral:rRNA from 1 species
GACGAACGCUGGCGGCGUGCUUAACACAUGCAAGUCGAGCGGUAAGGCCCUUUCGGGGGUACGACGAGCGGCGAACGGGUGAGUAACACGUGGGUGACCUGCCCUCAGCUCUGGGAGUAAGCCCGGGAAACUGGGUCUAAUACCGGAUAUGACUCCAUGACGCAUGUUGUGGGGUGGAAANCCUUGUGCGGCUGAGGAUGGGCCCGC